rnacentral:rRNA from 1 species
AUGGCCAAUGAUGAUAUCAAAUAUCAAGAGGAAUAUAUUUCAAAUGCACGCGGAUUGAACCUCUUUACAUGCCAAUGGACCCCUUCAAAUGGCGAACCAAAAGCUCUCAUCUUCCUAUGCCAUGGAUAUGCCAUGGAAUGCAGCAUUUCAAUGAGAGGAACCGGCACACGGCUGGCGAAGGCUGGAUUUGCGGUGCACGGAGUGGACUAUGAAGGCCAUGGAAAGUCUUCAGGACUUCAAGGCUAUAUUAGCAAUCUAAAUGAUGUCGUGUCUGAUUGCUUUACCUACUUUGCUAGUGUUUGUGAGAAAGAGGAGCACAGGAGAAAACGGAAGUUCUUGCUCGGUGAGUCCAUGGGAGGAGCUAUCGCGUUGAUGCUUCAUAGGAAGGAACCUACCUUUUGGGAUGGGGCCAUUUUAGUUGCCCCCAUGUGCAAGAUCGUAGAAGAAAUGAAGCCUAGUCCCAUGGUGAUUACAAUCUUAAGCAAGCUCAGCAAUGUAAUCCCUACAUGGAAGAUUAUUCCUAAUGAAGACAUCAUUGAUAGGGCAAUUAAAAGCCAAGAAUGGCGUGAAGAGGUCAGAAACAAUCCUUAUUGCUAUAAAGGAAGGCCUAGACUAAAGACUGGUUACGAAAUUUUUAUGGCAAGCUUGGAUAUUGAAAGCAAUCUUGAAAAGGUAACCCUGCCAUUCAUUAUAGUCCACGGUGGUGCUGAUGCUGUGACUGACCCAGCAGUAAGCGAGGCACUAUAUACACUAGCUGAGAGUAAAGACAAGACGUUGAAGCUCUACCCAGGGAUGUGCCAUGCUUUGACUUCCGGUGAACCAGAGAACAACAUUGACAUUGUGUUUUCAGAUAUCAUUCAGUGGCUUGAUGAGAGGGCAUUGGUUCAAAAAGAAUCAUAA